AUAGUCGGACACUUUGACCAAACAUGCGAAUAGAAGGCUGAAUGUUUGAUUUCCAAAGCAGAAACUAAAUUAAUGCUCAACGACUCAAAAGGAGCCUAACAGCAGCAGCAUGUCUCCCCAAUUCCCCUGAAUUGAGGAAAAAAAUAUGCAUUUAACUUUCGUUGUCUUUGAACAACAAUUACUCAGUCGGAGUGGGAGUAGCUGUGAGACCAAGCUGUAGAGUACUGGGAAGACCACAACUUGUCACAGCCUGACACGUUUGUUUGGGCUCCAAGACAAAAUAAAAUCUUUAUUUUCCGCACCGCAAUUGUGGUCUGGUAUUGGGUAGCGAAGCGUAAGGAAAUCACUGCCAAGGAGGACGACAAUUGCAGGAGCAGAGCCCAUUCGAGCAGAAGCCUCAACCCACGUCUAAUUGCGACUGCGUAGGCCACAGCGAAACGGGAAUAAACGAAAAAAGCACACUGCGAGUACGAGUAAUAGAGGAACCCCUUGCCUGACUAGAGGAUUUCGAGCCGUCUCUCUCGCUGGCCAUUUCUGUGACCCUCGGCGGCAGCUUUGAGAUGGAGCCGCGCCAGAGCUGGAGGCGCCACCGCUCUCGAACCAGCUCCGGCCCCGUGCAUCUUGGCGCAGCACUUCUUGCGUUGGCCUUGGUGUGGACCCACUCCCCCAGCCCCGUGCUC
rnacentral:lncRNA from 1 species